rnacentral:rRNA from 2 species
ACUCAAAACUCAAAGGACUUGACGGUGUCCCAAACCAACCUAGAGGAGCCUGUCCUAUAAUCGAUAAUCCACGUUCCACCCCACCCCCCCUUGAAAUCAGCCUGUAUACCGCCGUCUUCCAGUUCACCUUAUGACAGACCAAAAGCGAACACAACAGCUCACCACUAAGACGUCAGGUCAAGGUGCAGCCAAUGAGGGGGUAGCGAUGGGCUACAUUUUCUACCACAACAGAACACCACCAGCCACCACAUGAAAUAUGGGUUACAAGGCGGAUUUAGCAGUAAGCCAGACA